rnacentral:tRNA from 1 species
AGCUUUGUAGUUUAUAUAAAAUUUUUGUUUGUGGGACAAAGGAAGAGAAGCUUUA